AGAGUGAACGCUGGCGGUAGGCCUAACACAUGCAAGUCGAACGGCAGCACAGGAGAGCUUGCUCUCUGGGUGGCGAGUGGCGGACGGGUGAGGAAUACAUCGGAAUCUACCUUUUCGUGGGGGAUAACGUAGGGAAACUUACGCUAAUACCGCAUAAGACCUUCGGGUGAAAGCCGGGGACCUUCGGGCCUGGCGCGGAUAGAUGAGCCGAUGUCGGAUUAGCUUGUUGGCGGGGUAAAAGCCCACCAAGGCGACGAUCCGUAGCUGGUCUGAGAGGAUGAUCAGCCACACUGGAACUGAGACACGGUCCAGACUCCGUACGGGAGCAGCAGGUGGGGAAUAGUUGGACAAUGGCGCAAG
rnacentral:rRNA from 1 species